rnacentral:misc_RNA from 1 species
UCAUUGGUGGAAGAAGUGAACAAGAGACGAUUGUUCAAGACCGUGGGAUCUGUUGAAAAUGUUGGUUUCCAGACACCUCGGGAUUCUAAAAAAGUAUCACAGCGGAAUUUGAGCAGAAGAAUAUAAAAAUGAGGUCUUAUGCAUGAACUUUUCUCUGAAGAGGAGAUAAAAGGAAAAUGCCUGAACAGCGAGCUCAACUAGCUCUUAUGAGGUGAGGAUACUUAUUAGAAUGAGGAAGGAUGGGAAGUCAUCCAUGUCAUAUGGCAUCAAG